rnacentral:rRNA from 4 species
GUCCUUUAGAUAUUAAUUUAAGGUCUAACCUGCCCACUGAAAUAUUUUAAAUGGCCGCAGUAAUUUGACUGUGCAAAGGUAGCAUAAUCAUUAGUUUUUUAAUUAAAAGCUUGUAUGAAAGGUUGGACGAAGUAAAAUCUGUCUCUAAUUAAAUUAAUUUAGAAUUUAACUUUUAAGUUAAAAGGCUUAAAUUUAACUAAAAGACGAGAAGACCCUAUAGAUCUUUAUAUUUUUAUUAUUAAAUUUAAUUAAGAAUUUUUAAAAUUUUAUUAAUUUAAAUAUUUUAUUGGGGUAAUAUAAAGAUUAAAAUAAUUCUUUUUUUUUAUUAACAUUAAUUUAUGAUUUUUAUGAUCCAAUUAUAUUGAUUUUAAGAUUAAGUUACCUUAGGGAUAACAGCGUAAUUUUUUUAGAGAGUUCUUAUCGAUAAAAAAGUUUGCGACCUCGAUGUUGGAUUAAAGAUUAUUUUAGGUGCAGAAGUUUAAAAAUUUUGGUCUGUUCGACCAUUAAAUCUUUACAUGAUCUGAGUUCAGACCGGUGUAAGCCAGGUCGGUUUCUAUCUUUAGUGAAUUAAAAUAUUUUAGUACGAAAGGACCAAUUAUUUAAUAUAAAUAUUUAUAUUUUGAUUAUUAUUAA